AUACGUAGGGGGCGAGCGUUGUCCGGAAUGAUUGGGCGUAAAGGGCGCGUAGGCGGCGCGGUAAGUCUGGAGUGAAAGUCCUGCUUUCAAGGUGGGAAUUGCUUUGGAUACUGCCGCGCUUGAGUGCAGGAGAGGUUAUCGGAAUUCCCGGUGUAGCGGUGAAAUGCGUAGAGAUCGGGAGGAACACCAGUGGCGAAGGCGGGUAACUGGACUGCAACUGACGCUGAGGCGCGAAAGUGUGGGGAGCAAACAGGAUUAGAUACCCUGCUAGUCCACACUGUAAACGAUGAAUGCUAGGUGUAAGAGGUAUCGACCCCUUUUGUGCCGGAGUCAACACAAUAAGCAUUCCGCCUGGGGAGUACGGCCGCAAGGUUGAAACUCAAAGGAAUUGACGGGG
rnacentral:rRNA from 1 species